rnacentral:rRNA from 1 species
UACAGAGGUCUCAAGCGUUGUUCGGAUUCAUUGGGCGUAAAGGGCGCGUAGGCGGCGGGGUAAGUCGGGUGUGAAAUCUCAGGGCUCAACCCUGAAACUGCACUCGAUACUGCUCUGCUUGAGGACUGGAGAGGAGACUGGAAUUCACGGUGUAGCAGUGAAAUGCGUAGAUAUCGUGAGGAAGACCAGUGGCGAAGGCGGGUCUCUGGACAGUUCCUGACGCUGAGGCGCGAAGGCCAGGGAGCAAAGCGGG